CCAGACUCCUACGGGAGGCAGCAGUGAGGAAUAUUGGUCAAUGGGCGCGAGCCUGAACCAGCCAAGUCGCGUGAGGGAGGACGGCCCUACGGGUUGUAAACCUCUUUUGCCGGGGAGCAACGGGCGUCACGUGUGGCGCCACUGAGAGUACCCGGAGAAAAAGCAUCGGCUAACUCCGUGCCAGCAGCCGCGGUAAUACGGAGGAUGCGAGCGUUAUCCGGAUUUAUUGGGUUUAAAGGGUGCGCAGGCGGAAUGUCAAGUCAGCGGUAAAAUUUCGGGGCUCAACCCCGUCGUGCCGUUGAAACUGGCGUUCUUGAGUGGAAGAGAAGUAUGCGGAAUGCGUGGUGUAGCGGUGAAAUGCAUAGAUAUCACGCAGAACCCCGAUUGCGAAGGCAGCAUGCCGGCUUCCGACUGACGCUGAAGCACGAAAGCGUGGGGAUCGAACAGGAUUAGAUACCCUGGUAA
rnacentral:rRNA from 1 species